rnacentral:rRNA from 1 species
UACAGAGGGUGCGAGCGUUAAUCGGAAUUACUGGGCGUAAAGGGCGCGUAGGUGGUUAAUUAAGUCAGAUGUGAAAACCCUGGGCUCAACCUAGGACUUGCAUUUGAAACUGAUUGACUAGAGUUUGGGAGAGGGAAGUGGAAUUUCCGGUGUAGCGGUGAAAUGCGUAGAUAUCGGAAGGAACAUCAGUGGCGAAGGCGACUUCCUGGCCCGAUACUGACACUGAGGCGCGAAAGCGUGGGGAGCGAACAGG